rnacentral:rRNA from 1 species
UACGUAGGGUGCGAGCGUUAAUCGGAAUUACUGGGCGUAAAGCGUGCGCAGGCGGUUGAUUAAGUCUGAUGUGAAAGCCCCGGGCUCAACCUGGGAAUGGCAUUGGAAACUGGUCAGCUGGAGUGUGGCAGAGGGGGGUGGAAUUCCGCGUGUAGCAGUGAAAUGCGUAGAGAUGCGGAGGAACACCGAUGGCGAAGGCAGCCCCCUGGGCAAACACUGACGCUCAGGCACGAAAGCGUGGGGAGCAAACAGG